CAAUAGCGUAUAUUAAAGCUGUUGCGGUUAAAAAGCUCGUAGUUGGAUUUCUGUCAAGGACAAAUGGUCCGCCCUCCGGGUGAGCACAUAGUUUGGUCUUGACAUCUUGCUGGAAGCUGUUGCUGCACUUGGCUGUGUGGCGCAGUGUUCAGCACUUUCACUUUGAGGAAAUUGGAGUGUUUCAAGCAGGCACAUGCCUUUGGACACAGUAGCAUGGAAUAAUUAGAUUGGGCUUUUGCUCCAAUUUGUCGGUUUCUGGAGCUGAGGUGAGUAUUAAUGGGGAUUGUUGGGGGCAUCCGAAUUUAGCCGUCAGAGGUGAAAUUCUUGGAUCUGCUAAAGACGGACAACUGCGAAAGCGUUUGCCCAGGAUGUUUUCAUUGA
rnacentral:rRNA from 1 species